GACGAACGCUGGCGGCGUGCUUAACACAUGCAAGUCGAACGGAAAGGCCCUGCUUUUGUGGGGUGCUCGAGUGGCGAACGGGUGAGUAACACGUGAGUAACCUGCUCUUGACUUUGGGAUAACUUCAGGAAACUGGGGCUAAUACCGGAUAGGAGCUCCUGCUGCAUGGUGGGGGUUGGAAAGUUUCGGCGGUUGGGGAUGGACUCGCGGCUUAUCAGCUUGUUGGUGGGGUAGUGGCUUACCAAGGCUUUGACGGGUAGCCGGCCUGAGAGGGUGACCGGCGACAUGGGGACUGAGAUACGGCCCAGACUCCUACGGGGGGCAGCAGUGGGGAAUAUUGCACAAUGGGCGGAAGCCUGAUGCAGCAACGCCGCGUGCGGGAUGACGGCCUUCGGGUUGUAAACCGCUUUCGCCUGUGACGAAGCGUGAGUGACGGUAAUGGGUAAAGAAGCACCGGCUAACUACGUG
rnacentral:rRNA from 1 species